rnacentral:ribozyme from 11 species
AACAAAAGCUCCACGGGGCUUCUUGGUCGCUCAGGGUGAAUUGCUGCUUCAGGGCCACCUUUCAAUUCUGGAGAAACCGCACGGAUGGGCAAUCCCUGCUUGGAGCAACCAGGAAUUGUAGCACCA